UACGUAGGGUGCGAGCGUUAUUCGGAAUUACUGGGCGUAAAGCGUGCGCAGGCGGUUCGCUAAGUCCGAUGUGAAAUCCCCGGGCUUAACCUGGGAACUGCAUUGGUGACUGGCGGGCUAGAGUAUGGCAGAGGGGGGUAGAAUUCCACGUGUAGCAGUGAAAUGCGUAGAGAUGUGGAGGAAUACCGAUGGCGAAGGCAGCCCCCUGGGCCAAUACUGACGCUCAUGCACGAAAGCGUGGGGAGCAAACAGG
rnacentral:rRNA from 1 species